rnacentral:rRNA from 1 species
GACGAACGCUGGCGGCGUGCUUAACACAUGCAAGUCGAACGAAAAGAGGGAAAGAGCUUGCUCUUUCCGGAAUUGAGUGGCAAACGGGUGAGUAACACGUAAACAACCUGCCUUCAGGAUGGGGACAACAGACGGAAACGACUGCUAAUACCGAAUAAGUUCCAAGGGCCGCAUGGCCCAUGGAAGAAAAGGUGGCCUCUACCUGUAAGCUAUCGCCUGAAGAGGGGUUUGCGUCUGAUUAGCUGGUUGGAGGGGUAACGGCCCACCAAGGCGACGAUCAGUAGCCGGUCUGAGAGGAUGAACGGCCACACUGGAACUGAGACACGGUCCAGACUCCUACGGGAGGCAGCAGUGGGGAAUCUUCCGCAAUGGGCGAAAGCCUGACGGAGCAACGCCGCGUGAGUGACGACGGCCUUCGGGUUGUAAAACUCUGUGAUCCGGGACGAAAAGGCAGAGUGCGAAGAACAAACUGCAUUGACGGUACCGGAAAAGCAAGCCACGGCUAACUACGUG